CGGGUGGAGGCUCCAUCCUGGGGCGCCUGGGUGGGAGAGGUGGGGAGAACACCUGGAUAUCAGAUCCAUCCUCUCCCUAGGAGGUCUCCCGCUUGCUCCAGUCUCCGCCUGCCUCUUCAGAGCUGACGCCUCUCUCCAGACGUACGUGAUCCCUACUACAGUUGCGGUCCCUCUCCCAAAAUAUGACUCUUAAAACUCAGUUGUGGACCCCUUCCCGAAUGUGUUCCCAGCUUCCGAGUAGGAUUUCCUCCCCUUCCGGAUGUGCCUUCUGCACUUAGCGAUGUGUCUCAGAUACUAGGCGGCUGUUGCCCCUCUCCCAGAUGGGGCCCCCAUGGGUUGCCACAUGCAGCUGUGCCCCUACUUCCAAGAGAUGCUCUCGUAUCCAG